GCCGGGCUUGGUAGUGCAUGCCUGUAAUCCCAGCAACUCGGGAGCCUGAGGCAGGAGGAUUGAGAGUUCAAAACCAGCCUCAG
rnacentral:sRNA from 1 species